rnacentral:rRNA from 1 species
ACGCACGCUGGCGGCGUGCUUCACCCCUGCCAGUCGCACGGAAAGGCCCUGCUUGCAGGGUACUCGAGUGGCGAACGGGUGAGUAACACGUGGGUGAUCUGCCCUGCACUUCGGGAUAAGCCUGGGAAACUGGGUCUAAUACCGGAUAGGAGCCAUUUUUAGUGUGAUGGUUGGAAAGUUUUUUCGGUGUAGGAUGAGCUCGCGGCCUAUCAGCUUGUUGGUGGGGUAAUGGCCUACCAAGGCGGCGACGGGUAGCCGGCCUAAGAGGGUGGACGGCCACAUUGGGACUGAGAUACGGCCCAGACUCCUACGGGAGGCAGCAGUGGGGAAUAUUGCACAAUGGGCGCAAGCCUGAUGCAGCGACGCCGCGUGGGGGAUGACGGCCUUCGGGUUGUAAACUCCUUUCGCUAGGGACGAAGCUUUUUGUGACGGUACCUAGAUAAGAAGCACCGGCUAACUACGUG